UGGGGGAUAUUGCACAAUGGGCGAAAGCCUGAUGCAGCGACGCCGCGUGGGGGAUGAAGGCCUUCGGGUUGUAAACUUCUUUUGCUCUGAACAAGGCAUGCCUUUGGGGUGUGUUGAGUGUAGGGGUUGAUUAGCGCCGGCUAACUACGUGCCAGCAGCCGCGGUAAUACGUAGGGCGCGAGCGUUGUCCGGAAUUAUUGGGCGUAAAGGGCUUGUAGGUGGCUGGUUGCGUCUGUCGUGAAAGCUCAUGGCUUAACUGUGGGUUUGCGGUGGGUACGGGCUGGCUUGAGUGCAGUAGGGGAGGCUGGAAUUCCUGGUGUAGCGGUGGAAUGCGCAGAUAUCAGGAGGAAUACCGGUGGCGAAGGCGGGUCUCUGGGCUGUUCCUGACGCUGAGGAGCGAAAGCGUGGGGAGCGAACAGG
rnacentral:rRNA from 1 species